GGGGUUGUGGCUCAGUGGUAGAGUGCUUGCCUAGCAUGCAUGAGGUACUGGGUUCAAUCCUCAGCACCACA
rnacentral:tRNA from 1 species